rnacentral:rRNA from 1 species
CAAUAGCGUAUAUUAAAGUUGUUGCAGUUAAAAAGCUCGUAGUUGGAUUUCUGGUGGGAGCGAUCGGUCUGGCGCUUAGCGCGAGUACUUGCAUCGUCUCCGGCCAUCCUUGGGGAGAGUCUGUCUGGCAUUAGGUUGUCGGGCAGAGGAUCCUCAUCGUUUACUGUGGAAAAAUUAGAGUGUUCAAAGCAGGCUUAUGCCGUUGAAUAUAUUAGCAUGGAAUAAUAAGAUAGGACUUUGGUACUAUUUUGUUGGUUUGCGCACCAAAGUAAUGAUUAAUAGGGACAGUUGGGGGUAUUCGUAUUCCGUUGUCAGAGGUGAAAUUCUUGGAUUUACGGAAGACGAACUACUGCGAAAGCAUUUACCAAGGAUGUUUUCAUUAA